rnacentral:rRNA from 1 species
GACGAACGCUGGCGGCGUGCUUAACACAUGCAAGUCGAACGGAAAGGCCUCUUUCGGGGGGUACUCGAGUGGCGAACGGGUGAGUAACACGUGAGUAACCUGCCCUUGACUUUGGGAUAACUUCAGGAAACUGGGGCUAAUACCGGAUAGGAGCUCCUGCUGCAUGGUGGGGGUUGGAAAGUUUCGGCGGUUGGGGAUGGACUUGCGGCUUAUCAGCUUGUUGGUGGGGUAGUGGCUUACCAAGGCUUUGACGGGUAGCCGGCCUGAGAGGGGGACCGGCCACAUUGGGACUGAGAUUCGGCCCAGAAGCCUACGGGAGGCAGCAGUGGGGAAUAUUGCACAAUGGGUGGAAGCCUGAUGCAGCAACGGCGUGUGCGUGAUGACGGCCUUCGGGUUGUAAACCGCUUUCGCUCAUGACGAAGCUUUGUGUGACGGUAGUGGGUAAAGAAGCACCGGCUAACUACGUG